rnacentral:rRNA from 1 species
CAAUAGCGUAUAUUUAAGUUGUUGCAGUCAAAAAGCUCGUAGUCGGAUUUUGGCUGAGAACGAUCGGUCCGCCGUUAGGUGUGCACUGAUUGGUCUCAGCUUCCUGGUGAGGAGGUGUGCUUCACGGCCACUUAGUCACCGUGGUUACUUUGAAAAAAUUAGAGUGUUCAAAGCGGGCUUACGCUUGAAUAUAUUAGCAUGGAAUAACACCAUAGGACUCCUGUCCUAUUUCGUUGGUCUCGGGACGGGAGUAAUGAUUAAGAGGAACAGUUGGGGGCAUUCGUAUUUCAUUGUCAGAGGUGAAAUUCUUGGAUUUAUGAAAGACGAACUUCUGCGAAAGCAUUUGCCAAGGAUGUUUUCAUUGA